GGGGCGUGAGCCGCUUCGGCGGUUCACGCACCGGCGGACGGCUCAGUAACACGUGGCCAACCUGCCCUCGGGAGGGGGAUAACCCCGGGAAACUGGGGCUAAACCCCCAUAGGGGACGGGUACUGGAAUGUCCCGUCUCCGAAAGUGCACGGUUGCCGUAAGGCGCCGUGCAGCCCGAGGAUGGGGCUGCGGCGGAUUAGGUAGUUGGCGGGGUAACGGCCCGCCAAGCCGAAGAUCCGUACGGGCCAUGGGAGUGGGAGCCCGGAGAUGGACCCUGAGACACGGGUCCAGGCCCUACGGGGCGCAGCAGGCGCGAAACCUCCGCAAUGCGGGAAACCGCGACGGGGUCAGCCGGAGUGCCCGCGCAUCGCGCGGGCUGUCGGGGUGCCUAAAAAGCACCCCACAGCAAGGGCCGGGCAAGGCCGGUGGCAGCCGCCGCGGUAAUACCGGCGGCCCGAGUGGCGGCCACUAUUAUUGGGCCUAAGGCGUCCGUAGCCGGGCUGGUAAGUCCCCCGGGAAAUCUGGCGGCUUAACCGUCAGACUGCCGGGGGAUACUGCCAGCCUAGGGACCGGGAGAGGCCGGGGGUAUUCCCGGGGUAGGGGUGAAAUCCUGUAAUCCCGGGAGGACCACCUGUGGCGAAGGCGCCCGGCUGGAACGGGUCCGACGGUGGGGGACGAAGGCCAGGGGAGCGAACCGGAUUAGAUACCCGGGUAGUCCUGGCUGUAAACGAUGCGGACUAGGUGUCGGGCAAGCUACGAACUUGCCCGGUGCCGGAGGGAAGCCGUUAAGUCCGCCGCCUGGGGAGUACGGCCGCAAGGCUGAAACUUAAAGGAAUUGGCGGGGGAGCAC
rnacentral:rRNA from 1 species